rnacentral:lncRNA from 1 species
UCAGGACACGUGUUCAAGACAUAUGAAUUGUCUAGGGUUAAAUAAUUUCUUUUAUUAAAAACUUGGGACCAAAUUUAUUUUGAGAAAAAGACUAAAAUAGCACUAAAUCAAGUUUUUGUUUCCAAAUUAGCACUCAAGGUCAAAAGUCACAAAAUAACAUUCAAGAGGUAGAGUUUAGGGUUUAGAAUUUAGGGUUUAGAGUUUAGAGUUUAAGUUUUAGGGUUUAGAGUUGAGAAGUGAAGUUUUGGGGAUAAAAUUUCAAAUUUUGAAAAACAAAAAAAAAUUAAAUUUUUCAAAAGAUAAAAUGCUAUUUCGGUGAUUUUAGUUUUUGAGUACUAUUUUUGUGAUAUAAACUUAGAAAUGUGCU